CAAUAGCGUAUAUUAAAGUUGUUGCAGUUAAAAAGCUCGUAGUUGGAUUUCUGUGAGAGUGCCGGUGUCGGCUGAUGCUUGUACGCAGGCACUCUUACAUCCUUCUGUUAACUGUUCUUGGCAUUUUAUUGCUGGUUCAGGGCUCAGAUAUUUUACCUUGAGAAAAUUAGAGUGUUUCAGGCAGGCUUAUGCCGGAAUACAUUAGCAUGGAAUAAUGGAACAGGACCUGUGCGUCUCUCGGGGCGCCGGUCUCCGUUGUUGGUUUCGGGGACUAAUGUAAUGAUUAAUAGGGAUAGUUGGGGGCAUUAGUAUUUAAUAGUCAGAGGUGAAAUUCUCGGAUUUGUUAAAGACUAACUUAUGCGAAAGCAUUUGCCAAGGAUGUUUUCAUUAA
rnacentral:rRNA from 1 species